AUUGAACGCUGGCGGCAGGCCUAACACAUGCAAGUCGAGCGAGCGGCGGACGGGUGAGUAAUGUCUGGGAAACUGCCUGAUGGAGGGGGAUAACUACUGGAAACGGUAGCUAAUACCGCAUACCAUCAGAUGUGCCCAGAUGGGAUUAGCUAGUAGGUGGGGUAACGGCUCACCUAGGCGACGAUCCCUAGCUGGUCUGAGAGGAUGACCAGCCACACUGGAACUGAGACACGGUCCAGACUCAUACGGGAGGCAGCAGUGGGUAAUAGUGCACAAUGGGCGCAAGCAGGAGGCAGCCAUGCCGCGUGUGUGAAGAAGGCCUUAGGGUUGUAAAGCUCUUUCAGCGGGGAGUCUUUACCCGCAGAAGAUGCACCGGCGAACUCCGUGCCAGCAGCCGCGGUAAUUC
rnacentral:rRNA from 1 species